CACAGGUGAGGAGGAUUGUAGAACUGUGGGGAAGAAGGACCACUGUGGCUACCUUAGAAACUGCCGACCACAGGUGUCUGUGUCUGAAACCACCAUGAAGUGCAGGGGGUGGUAUUUCUACUACCAAGAACUCAAGAGCUGCAGGCUGGAGCUAAGCUAUGUCACUAGAGGCAAGAGGGAAGGAACCAAGUCAGAGAUGACAUCAUCACCUUAUAGAUGAGGAAGAACUGAGGAGCAAUGGAAUAUGAGGCUGCAAUUCAUCGUGGCAGGGAACCUGAGGACAGAGCAGAGAGGCUCACAUCAUGGUGACCAAGGAGCAGAAAGAUGGGUUAGGACAGACUUGGUGUCAUGAGUGAAGACAGAAGAAUUAUCUAUGCACUGAUGCUUGUGGAGAAGGUAGUUACAGAGGCGAGGACGCUGAAGCAAAAGCCAAGAGAUGUAGCUUCUGGUCCUGCUGAAAGCAACCAACCAACAGGGAAGCCUGGAGCAUAUUCAUCCCCAUUGCUCAGCCCUUUUCUUGACCAGUCAAGUUUUGGAAUCAGAAGUUAACACCAAUCCAGGUUCCAGUCCAUAUCAACAGCAGAGUAUCUAGUUCUAGAAUGUAUUUGGUUUGCCUGAUAUUGGACAUUUCUGUCAAUUCUGAGUCCCAGGGAUCUGUGGAACUGUGGCCAAGAGGAGUCAAAGCCAUGGACAAUACAUCUUUCUGAUUGGCAGGUACCAUGCUGAGAGCUUUACUAUCAUCAUCUCACAGUCAUUUCCCAAGACAUAGGCUGUUACUGUUCUCGUUCAGAGAUGAAGACUCUAAGCUACCCAGUCAACAAUUUUAAAAGGACUGCCCAUAAAGACAGGUUUUGUUGUUGUUGUUCGUUGUGUUUGUUUGUUUUUGUUUCUUUUGGAAUAAAAGUAUUAUAUUCACGAACGGAACAAAGAAUCUUCACUAUAAAACACACAUCAAGGAAGCCCCUCGUAGUGAGUGUCUGCUCUUCCACCAGGAGGAAGCUGGUUGUCGGGGGCUGAAAUGACUCUACAGUGCCAAUCCAACCUGCCACUGGAUGCUGUAGUCAGAAAUGGUGUGGGAUGAGAGAGGAGGGCAAGUCCCGAGUCUCCGGUGGAAAAUCUGCUUCUGGAUACCUGGUGCUGGGAAGAAAACACUGUCUGAGAUACAGUGCCUCCUCUGUGUAUGGCGCUGGAAGGUUUUCCUGGCCAGUCCUCACUUUGUGCAUUAAAGAAAGAACACUAUAGACACCAGUACUUAGUGUUGGAUGGAAAGACAUACCAGGCCUUCAUCAUGAGCAAUAAGAAUAAAGUUCACUUUGUGUUUAGAAGGAAGACAGGCAAGGUG
rnacentral:lncRNA from 1 species